GUGCACGCUGGCGGCAGGCCUAACACAUGCAAGUCGAGCGGCAGCGCGGGGGCAACCCUGGCGGCGAGCGGCGGACGGGUGAGGAAUUCGUCGGAAUCUGCCUUUUUGUGGGGGAUAACGUAGGGAAACUUACGCUAAUACCGCAUACGUCCUACGGGAGAAAGUGGGGGACCGCAAGGCCUCACGCAGAAAGAUGAGCCGACGACCGAUUAGCUAGUUGGUGGGGUAAAGGCCCACCAAGGCGACGAUCGGUAGCUGGUCUGAGAGGAUGAUCAGCCACACUGGGACUGAGACACGGCCCAGACUCCUACGGGAGGCAGCAGUGGGGAAUAUUGGACAAUGGGCGCAAGCCUGAUCCAGCCAUGCCGCGUGUGUGAAGAAGGCCUUCGGGUUGUAAAGCACUUUUGUCCGGAAAGAAAUCCCUGGAGCUAAUACCUUCGGGGGAUGACGGUACCGGAAGAAUAAGCACCGGCUAACUUCGUG
rnacentral:rRNA from 1 species